rnacentral:rRNA from 1 species
UGGGGAAUAUUGCACAAUGGGCGAAAGCCUGACGCAGCAACGCCGCGUGAGUGAUGAAGGUCUUCGGAUUGUAAAGCUCUGUCUUUUGGGACGAUAAUGACGGUACCAAAGGAGGAAGCCACGGCUAACUACGUGCCAGCAGCCGCGGUAAUACGUAGGUGGCGAGCGUUGUCCGGAUUUACUGGGCGUAAAGGGUGCGUAGGCGGAUGUUUAAGUGAGAUGUGAAAUACCCGGGCUUAACUUGGGUGCUGCAUUUCAAACUGGAUAUCUAGAGUGCAGGAGAGGAGAAUGGAAUUCCUAGUGUAGCGGUGAAAUGCGUAGAGAUUAGGAGGAACACCAGUGGCGAAGGCGAUUCUCUGGACUGUAACUGACGCUGAGGCACGAAAGCGUGGGUAGCAAACAGGAUUAGAUACCCUGGUAGUCCACGCCGUAAACGAUGAGUACUAGGUGUAGGAGGUAUCGACCCCUUCUGUGCCGCAGUAAACACAUUAAGUACUCCGCCUGGGAAGUACGAUCGCAAGAUUAAAACUCUAAGUGAAUUGAC